rnacentral:snRNA from 1 species
UCUCCAAGGUGAACAGCCUCUGG